rnacentral:rRNA from 1 species
CAGGAUUCCCUCAGUAGCGGCGAGCGAACAGGGAGGAGCCCAGCACCGAAUCCCGCGUUCCGAGAGGGGCGCAGGGAAAUGUGGUGUUAAGGAGCGUCCGUCAUCCCGGCGCGCGUACGGUCGGUCCAAGUCCUUCUUGAACGGGGCCACUUACCCGCAGAGGGUGCCAGGCCCGUAGAGGCGACCGUCGGCGCCGGGAGGGCGCCUCCUGAGAGUCGGGUUGCUUGAGAGUGCAGCCCUAAGCGGGUGGUAAACUCCAUCUAAGGCUAAAUAUCACCACGAGACCGAUAGCGAACAAGUACCGUGAGGGAAAGUUGAAAAGAACUUUGAAGAGAGAGUUCAAUAGUACGUGAAACCGUUCAGGGGUAAACCUGAGAAACCCGAAAGGUCGAAGGGGGAGAUUCAACCGCGUCUCGGAUGCGGUACCGCGGGGACCGGGCCACGGACCAGACCCUCUAGCGGGGCGGUCCGGGUCCGACGCUCGCGGGCGAUGCCGCGCCGAACGCGUGCACUUCUCCCCUAGUAGGACGUCGCGACCCGUCGGGUGCCGGUCUAAGGUCCGCGGUGGAGCCGCACGGUCGAGACUUCGCGUCGAGGCCGGGCGACCCGCGGUUCUUGCCCGACCGGCUCGCCCGACGGUACGACAGAGGCGCGGGGCCGCGACGCGCCAUCCUCGCGGUGGCGCGACGCGUCCGGCGCGUCGCUUUCGCGCACCGGCUCGCCGCAACGCCGGACUUCGUGCCGGCUUCGGUUGUUCCGGUCGCUGGCGGCGCGCGCUGGACAGUACCCGUUCGCCGGUCGGCGACGCUCAAGUUUUGGGUGCUUUCAGGACCCGUCUUGAAACACGGACCAAGGAGUCUAGCAUGUGCGCGAGUCAUUGGGACGUUUCUAAUCCCAAAGGCGUAAUGAAAGUGAAGGUCCGCCUCGCGCGGACCCGGGGAGGAUCGGCCGGCGUCGCCUUGCGGCGCCGCCGCGCACUCCCGGGGCGUCUCGACGUCUUCGCGACCGAGGCGCACCCCGAGCGCACACGCUGGGACCCGAAAGAUGGUGAACUGUGCCUGGUCAGGACGAAGUCAGGGGAAACCCUGAUGGAGGUCCGUAGCGAUUCUGACGUGCAAAUCGAUCGUCGGAACUGGGCAUAGGGGCGAAAGACUAAUCGAACUAUCUAGUAGCUGGUUCCCUCCGAAGUUUCCCUCAGGAUAGCUGGCGCUCGCAGUAUCGAGUCUCAUACGGUAAAGCGAAUGAUUAGAGGCAUUGGGUUCGAAACGGCCUCAACCUAUUCUCAAACUUUAAAUGGGUGAGAUCUCCGGCUUGCUCGAUCUAAGUGAAGCCGCGAGCGUAACGAUAACGGAUCAGAG